CUGGCACUCACUUUGGAGCUGAUAAUGCCAAUGGGCAGGUGACCCACAGCCCUGCAGCAGGAGGGAACCCGGCAAGACCUGCAGCAACAGGUAAUGUGAGAUUUUGAAAACUUCCCUGGUGUGUGGAAGAUUUGAAAAAUGACUGUGAGGAAGAAGAUGGUUUGCUGCAGCAUCACAGCCUGAGGUGCCAGGAAAAGCACAGCAGAGCAAGCUGCAACAUGAGGUUUUUUGCCUUCCUUUGAGCAGUUGGUUCUGUGGAAAACCAGCCCCCAUCUCUGCUUUGGGACACCCUGUCUGGCCGUGGGCUCUCCACUCACCUGACACCACUGUGAACACAGGGCAAGGGCAGACUGCACAGGCCUGCUGGGGGCUAG